CUUGUUUUUGCAUUACCUGACAAAAUGCAGCUUUACUGGCUUGGUGAAAUAUUUAUUGUAAUGUCUACAGGGGUAGACAUUUCCAUAAAUAGACAAAAUAUUUAUUGUAAUGUCUACAAGGGCAGACAUUUCCAUAAACAGACCUCGCAUUUUUAUGAUCCAUCUAUGCCUUUCUUUAGGAAAGAACAUGUGGAUACACCUCGCUCAGGCUCCACGGUGUGUAAAAUCACUGCAUUUUUGCCAAGAGUCAGUUCCUCUCCUCUCACUUUUCUCUCCACAGUACAAACAGCACCUCAGAUUCCCAACGGGGUUCGUUGCAAUUCGUGCUUUGCCCGUGGCGCACAUUUUUGUCUGAAUCACACUACAGUGGCGUGUACUGGCCUCCUGACCAACUGCAUCCACUUUGCCACCAUUGCAAGUACAGACGAAUUCAAGGACGAACAAGUCGCCUUUACAGGAUGCGCCACCAGGAACAUGUGCGACAUGGGAGCGGGAGCGCUGUUUGCUGCUGGCCGCAAUGUGGACAUCAAGGUCAACACAUGCAGCCAUGCGCUUGGAAUCUCUACCCAAUACAGCCUGGUCUUGCCACUCCUGGCGGGGCUCCUUUGCUUUGCCUUCUGUUCGUGAUUGUGUUCUAUUUCAUCCCUUUUGCCUGUUUGCUUUCUAUUGACUGUGGUGGUUGUCUUCCUUCUCAUUUCGCUCUUGCAGAUCUGGUCUCGACUUCCUACAAUGAGCAUCUGUUCCACCUUCCCUUCUUGGAAGAUCUCUCUCUGCUGUUCAGAUCUUUGAGCCGAUGCUCGAAUCAGGGAAGGGACAGCCAUCUUCCACCGUAGGAUCUCCCAGACUUUUUCCCCUUUAAGAAUCUUUUUCUGUGCUGAUGUUGUCAGUAUUUUCCACACCAUCCUUCCUGUGGGAGACAGGGAAUGGACCGAACUGGGAGAGGCAGAGGGCCAAUCGUGGUGAAGUAUGGGUGCCACCAUAGCUGAUUUAAGGCCAAGUAAGAAAACGGGUAGUGUUUUUAAGAAGGGAAAGAAGAAAACAUGGGUCAAUUUGGAAGACCUUGGAGAGAAAAGCUGUGGAGAACACAGGGGUAAAAGUAUAAGUAUUUAAAAGUCUAAUAUCACCAGAAUCUACAGCUCUCCUCCAUCACAUUAGCAUCACCCAGAAACCAUUGCAGUCAUGGACUGAUGGCUUUUAGAAUCAAAAUUCAUGGUUGAAUCAAAUCUGUAUAACACCUCUAAAACCUAAUAAAGCAAGGUUUUAAUUUAAAAUAUUUUACCUC
rnacentral:lncRNA from 1 species